CAGGAUGGGAAGAGUCUCUGAGAAUGUUGUGCAAUUUCCUCAAACAGCGAGAUGUGAAGAUGUCAUCCAGGGCUGGUAGCUGGAGCCCGAUGAUAUUCUGGGCAGUUUUAAUGAUUCUCUGUAGAGCCUUUUUCUCCACUACAGAGCUGCUCCAAUACCAUAGAAAAA